rnacentral:rRNA from 1 species
AUGGUGGUAACGGGUAACGGGGUGUUAGGGCACGACACCGGAGAGGGAGCCUGAGAAACGGCUACCACAUCCAAGGAAGGCAGCAGGCGCGCAAAUUACCCAAUCCCGACAUGGGGAGGUAGUGACAAUAAAUAACAAUACAGGGUUCUUUUGGAUCUUGUAAUUGGAAUGAGUACAAUUUAAAUCUCUUAACGAGGAACAAUUGGAGGGCAAGUCUGGUGCCAGCAGCCGCGGUAAUUCCAGCUCCAAUAGCGUAUAUUAAAGUUGUUGCAGUUAAAAAGCUCGUAGUUGAAUUUCGGGAUCAAGGGAUCGGUCAUGCCUUGGUAUGUACUGGUUUUAUUGGUUCUCACCUUCUAAAGAACCAUGAUGUCAUUCAUUUGAUGUUAUGGGGAAUUAGGACUGUUACCUUGAAAAAAUUAGAGUGUUUAAAGCAAGCUUACGCUUGAAUACAUUAGCAUGGAAUAAUGAAAUAGGACGUCAGAUUCUAUUUUGUUGGUUUCUAGGAUCGAUGUAAUGAUUAAUAGGGAUAGUUGGGGGCAUUAGUAUUCAAUUGUCAGAGGUGAAAUUCUUGGAUUUAUUGAAGACUAACUACUGCGAAAGCAUUUGCCAAGGAUGUUUUCAUUAAUCAAGAACGAAAGUUAGGGGAUCGAAGACGAUCAGAUACCGUCGUAGUCUUAACCAUAAACUAUGCCGA